rnacentral:rRNA from 1 species
AAAGGUGAAAUUAGAUUGUUAUUAAAUAAUUAAAAAUCAAAACUGAAGCUAAAAAAGUUUGAUUAAAGACUAGGAUUAGAUACCCUAUUAUUUUAAAUUUAAAUAUUAAUAAACUCUAGAUAAGUAGUAGAUAGGUACUUAAAAAUUAAAAAAUUUGGCGGUGAUUUAAUCUUUUCAGAGGAACUUGUUUUUUAAUCGAUAAACCACGUUUAAUCUUACUUAAGUAUGUAUACCAUCAUUAACAGGUAAUUUUAAAAGAAAAAAUUACUAAAAAUAAUUAAUUAAAAAAAUUAGAUCAUGGUGCAGCUUAUAAAUAAGGUAAAAUGAGUUACAAUAAAGUUUUUUAUAUGAAUUAGUAACUAUAAAGGUGGAUUUGAUUGUAAUGUGGAUUAAUAAGCUUAUUUGAUAUUGGUGCUAAAUCAUGUACAUAUCGCCCGUCGCUUUC